CCGCGUCUGCCGUGUUUUUGGAUUUUUGUGCUCUCUCUCUCUCUCUCUCUCCCUCUCUGUGUUCGGGACUUUAGGGAGAGAGCGGUUUUCCGCUGCUUGUUUCUCACUCUACCACUGCCGUUCGCCUCCCCAAAUGUGGAGUUUCAAACCCUAAAAUCUCCAUCUCUCUGCCAGUCCUUCUCGAUCGCCUCAGCCAUUUGCUCCCGCUACUCGUGCGGAGCAAGAAUCACUCCUCACUUCGCCUGCAAUCCAUUGAAGAUUUGGUCCACUUCGCGCCUGAUUCUGCAAUCUGUACCUUCUUGUUCUUUUUCUGCGUUUGUAUUCUAUGGUCUCGGUUUAAUUUUCAGUUCUGCAUGUGAAUGCGCGACUGUCUGUGUGUGUUUUGGGGGGCGGGGGUUUUGGGGGUAUUGGGAAUGCUCGGUUUUACAAGCUUAAAGUAGGAGAUUGGUUAUAUUAUUACGCAAAUGUUCAAUGAUUCGUGCUUGCUUCUGUCAUCAGUGUGCGAUUUUUAGUGUUCUAUCUUCUUCACUGUUCAACUUCGUCUCUCCAAAAGCAGGUUGUGCAUUCUUGGUUUUGAGUCAUCAUCUGUUAGUUUUAGGGCUCUGUAUUCAACUAUGGGUGGUGACGCUGGCGCGAGUCUUCUCAAUGGCAAUGGUAGUUCCCAACCUGAUGUGCAGAGGACGUACCAAGUCGUCGUGGCUGCGGCUCAAAAUAUGGGUAUUGGUAAGGAUGGAAAAUUACCCUGGAGAUUGCCUUCUGACAUGAAAUUUUUCAAGGAUAUUACUGUGACUACGUCUGAUCCUGUGAAAAAGAAUGCAGUCAUAAUGGGUAGAAAAACAUGGGAGAGCAUUCCCCUUAAGGAUCGGCCUCUAGCUGGUCGCCUCAAUGUCGUGCUAACCCGUUCUGGGAGUUUUGAUAUUGCAACUGCAGAGAAUGUUGUAAUAUGUGGAAGCAUGACUUCUGCUUUAGAGUUAUUAGCAGCAUCUCCUUAUUCCCUGUCAAUUGAAAAAGUGUUUGUUAUAGGAGGUGGCCAGAUAUUAAGUGAAUAUCUCAACGCACCUGGAUGUGAUGCUAUCCACAUUACUGAAAUUGAGAUAGACAUUGAAUGCGACGCUUUCAUCCCUGCUAUCGAUUGCUCUGUUUUUCAGCCGUGGUACUCGUCCUUUCCGGCUGUGGAAAACAAUAUUCGAUAUUCCUUCAAUACGUUUGUUCGUGUGAGGAGUUCCGGAGUUGAACCCGCAAGACAGGACAAUGGUUUGAUAGUUGAUACUAAGUCAGAUUCUCUGAAGCUUGAGGUAAAGAACUUCUCUUUCCUGCCUAAGAUGAUUUUUGAGAGACAUGAGGAGUACCUGUAUCUGGAUUUGGUUCAAGACAUCAUCUCAAACGGUGCUCUGAAGGAUGACAGAACAGGCACUGGUACGCUCUCCAAAUUUGGUUGCCAGAUGCGAUUCAAUCUGCGCAAAACUUUUCCUCUUUUUACAACUAAGAAAGUAUUUUGGCGAGGAGUAGUUGAAGAACUUUUGUGGUUCAUCAGUGGUUCAACAAAUGCUAAGGUCCUUCAGGAAAAGGGCAUUCAUAUCUGGGAUGGCAAUGCAUCUAGAGACUUUCUUGAUAGUAUUGGUUUGGCAGAUAGGGAAGAGGGUGAUUUGGGUCCCAUAUAUGGGUUCCAGUGGAGACACUUUGGUGCUAGGUAUACUGACAUGCAUGCUGACUAUAGUGGCCAAGGAUUUGAUCAGUUGUUGGAUGUUAUUGACAAGAUUAAAAAUAAACCCAAUGAUCGGAGGAUUAUACUGUCAGCUUGGAAUCCUUCUGAUCUCAAAUUGAUGGCACUUCCACCUUGCCACAUGUUUGCUCAGUUUUAUGUGGCCAAUGGGGAGUUAUCUUGUCAAAUGUAUCAGCGCUCUGCUGACAUGGGUCUUGGUGUACCAUUUAACGUCGCAUCUUAUGCUCUUUUGACAUGCAUGAUAGCCCAUGUUUGUGAUCUUGUUCCAGGUGAUUUUAUCCAUGUGAUUGGGGAUGCUCAUGUUUAUCGUACACAUGUUGUGCCUCUAAAGGAGCAGCUUCUGAAUCUGCCAAAACCUUUCCCUAUUUUGAAGAUUAAUGCUGAAAAGAAGAAUAUAGAUUCAUUUGUGGCAUCCGAUUUUAAACUCAUAGGUUAUGAUCCUCACCAGAAAAUAGAAAUGAAAAUGGCGGUGUAGAGUUCCACUGUGUUAACAUAAAGAAAACUUGGAUCUGUUCCUCUUUUUCAGGCAAUCUCUGCCCUUAAUUCUGAGGAACAGCCACAAUAGACGGAGGUUUGUGUGGAUAUAAAUACAAAUAAAAAGAACUGCUAGUUGGAUGAACUUAAAGCCUUAUAUAUAUAUAUGUGGUUAGUAAUUGAGAAUCCUUUGGUUCCAGAAAGAAUGAUGGUUCUGAGGUGAUUUAGGACACAUAAAUUUCAAUGUUAAGGUUGGUUGGUUGGUUGGUUUGUUUGUGCUCUUAUAUUAUGUGGAGAUUUUGCUUUUCUAAAUGCUGCAACUCUGCUCUGAUAAACUGCAGUUUAUUAUGUGAGAGUGAGACCACCAAGAUUUAUUGCUUAAUGGCAUUGUACUUUUUAUUACUUUUAGCUUUA